rnacentral:rRNA from 1 species
UACGUAGGUGGCAAGCGUUGUCCGGAAUUAUUGGGCGUAAAGCGCGCGCAGGCGGCCUUUUAAGUCUGAUGUGAAAUCUUGCGGCUCAACCGCAAGCGGCCAUUGGAAACUGGGAGGCUUGAGUACAGAAGAGGAGAGUGGAAUUCCACGUGUAGCGGUGAAAUGCGUAGAUAUUGGGAAGAACACCGGUGGCGAAGGCGGCGACCUGGUCCGAUACUGACGCUGAGGCGCGAAAGCGUGGGGAGCAAACAGG